rnacentral:lncRNA from 1 species
UGGUGGACCAAAUAGUUAAUUGGGCUAACCUGCUUUCGAUUUUUGGGCUGAUUUUGGGCCUUUUUUAGCUAAUUUUUGGGGAUACUUUGAAUCUCCUUUUGUUAGUUGUGUGCCCUAAAAGUCAAUUAUUAGCUGACAUAUUUUAUAAUUUUAAGAUCUAUUCUUGUACUUGUAAAACUUCAUUAUUAAUAAAAAAGAUAUUUUUAUUACC